rnacentral:rRNA from 1 species
GGAGUUUGGGCCGUGUCUCAGUCCCAAUGUGGCCGGUCACCCUCUCAGGUCGGCUACUGAUCGUCGCCUUGGUGGGCCGUUACCUCACCAACUAGCUAAUCAGACGCGGGUCCAUCUUGUACCGAAAAUACUUUUCGACACUGUACCAUGCGGUACUGUGCGCUUAUGCGGUAUUAGCAGUCGUUUCCAACUGUUGUCCCCCCUGUACAAGGUAGGUUACCCACGCGUUACUCACCCGUCGCCACUCAGUCAAUAAUCCGUCACCCCGAAGGGAUCGUAGAAAAUUGCUUCGUUCGACUUGCAUGUGUUAAGCACGCCGCCAGCGUUCAUC